AAAGGUCCUGCCUGCCCAGUGAAUCUUUAAACGGCCGCGGUAUUCUAACCGUGCAAAGGUAGCGUAAUCACUUGUCUUCUAAAUAAAGACCAGUAUGAACGGCUAAAUGAGGACAAACCUGUCUCCUACAACCAAUCAGUGAAACUGAUCUUCCAGUCCAAAAGCUGGAAUACUCACAUAAGACGAGAAGACCCUGUGGAGCUUAAAAUAACCUACUACUAUAAGCCCUAGAUAGUACACUAUUUUAAGUUGGGGCGACUUCGGAACAAAACAAAACUUCCGAGCACAGAACCACCACUUCUUACUGAGGCAAACAGGCCAAAGCAAAAACUGACCCAGUCACACUGAUUAACGAACCAAGUUACCCCAGGGAUAACAGCGCCAUCUUCUUCAAGAGUCCAUAUCGACAAGAAGGUUUACGACCUCGAUGUUGGAUCAGGGCACCCAAAUGGUGCAACCGCUAUUAAAGGUUCGUUUGUUCAACGAUUAACAG
rnacentral:rRNA from 1 species